UUGCUUUAAUGGAGGAGUCAACAUAUAAACCAUCAUGUAUUGAGAAUGCAGGAUAAAUUGGAGGUCAUCUAGAGAGAGAGGGCCCUAGCAUUAAAAGGGAACCAAAAAAGCUUCUUGCAGAAAGUGUGCCUGUAACAAGAUGUGAAGGAAGCCAGAAAGCAGAAGUCAGAAUUCCGGGCCCCGGGGAGACAGCCUGUGGAGAUUCUGCAGUUGGGAAAUAGAGUGUCUUUCCCAGCAUUCACUGGAUCACAGAGUGCAUGGAAAGGUUAGAAGGAGCUGGGUUUUGGAGGACUUUCUCAAUGUGGAUUUUACAUUUAAUUAAAGAUAAUGGGGAGUCCCUGGAAUCUGGUAAAUGUGGAGCGGGGGGAUCUGAGGAAGAUGGCGGAGUAGGUUGUGAAUGUGGGGAACACGACACCAUCCAUCCCGGGAAGAUGGACAUCAAGCAUCCGUGGCGAACUCUGAAAAAUGAGAAGCAUGGCCAAGAAGUCAGAGCUGGGCCUGGCGGUGCCGUGAAUGGAGCAAGCAGUCUCUUCCAAGCCUCACCAGGUUCUUCCUACUCCUACCUCUCAUCAGGUGGUCUACUUUCUGGCACCCAGAGACAGGGAGACCAUCAAUGACCAAGGCACAUGGCUGUCCAGCACAGAGGAUAUGAGACACAUAAGCAUAUAUAUAGGCCAUAAGAAACCGAGAAUGGAGGGGAAAUUAAGGACCAAAUGUGAUGGCAUGGGAAAGAAAAACUAGAGGCUUUGCGUCCCCAGACCUUACCCUUUCAGCCCUUCAGCCUCCCUAACCCUUUCCCACCUCAGCUGCAUAAGAAAGAAACGGGAAGCUUGAGCUGUCAGCUCCUCAGGCUUGCAGGCUGGGUACCCAGGCUCGAAUCCCAUCUUUCUCAUUGGCCAGCUUCUGGCUCAAUCACAGGAGCCUACGAAGUCAUAAGGUGACCACGACUGCGUUCGGUUCGGUUUGGCAGCUCCGGCACUCUAGGCGGCCCCAGUUGUGAGGUGGGCCUUGCUAGGCCGCAUCUCGGGCUGCCCGAUGGCGGUGGCCGAGACUCGAGGACCUUCGGCGCUGCUUCUCCAAGCCCGCUCCAGAGACCCUAGGCGCAUCUUUCAGAGGACGUGGGAACUGCAGAAUGAGCGGUUUUCUAAGUCAAUAUGCAGCAGGAUAUGCAAAGAUCCUUACUGUUAGUGGCCCUGUUUCUAUUUGAGUUUACCACCAUUGUUAUGGAGGAAAGUCUGCUGGGUUUGGAGUCAGGAGAUUUUGACAUUGGAAGUCUAACCCUGGCACUCUGGCAUAUACUUGUGGGGCUUUAGGUCUGCACAUCAGGACUAUAUUUACCUCAUAGAGUCAGGGACAACACCAUCUUUUUAUUUGAUUUUGGACUGUUCUGAUAUGAUUCAUUUAUAAAUACAUAAGGUUCUAGCACCAUCUUUUUAUUUGGCAGCUGAAUAAUGAUUUGCUCAGUCAUCCUCUGAUAGUGUGAUUAUAUCAGUUAUUUGUUGAUUAUUUUGUCAAUUUGGGUAUCCAUUUUUUGUAAAUAGUUAUCUCUAUAUUCUCUGUUUUGUUGCCACUUGUGUAGUAAUAUUCUCAAUCUUCUUUAUAUCAUCCUCAUUCCUUGUGAUUUCUCUCUUUCUCUUUUCCAAUUUUGAAGUUGGGAUUAUUUUUGAUUACAUAUGCCAGUGGUUUAUCCAUUUUAUUUAUCCUUUUUUUAAUAGCCAACUCUUUUGUUAAUUUAGUGAUAUUUUUAUUUGAAAAAUGUUUUGGUUCAUUUCUCGUUUAAUUCUAGCAAUUUUCUUUUUUGGUCUCAUUUUGGAGGUAUUGAACUGUUUAUUUUUAAUUUUUUAAAAAAUAUUAAGUCAACUCAUAACAUUUCUUAUGCCCCCUCCCCCCGGAUAUAAAUUGGCCCCUGAAUAUUGCUUUAGCCUUGUCCAAUAAAGUUGAUAUUAUAUAAUUGUGGUUUCCUGUAAUUAAUUUAAUUUACACAUGCAUUAUUGAGACAUAUUUUAUUUUCCAUAAAGGCCUUCAUUUAUUAAGUGUAUUUCUCCUUUUGAUAACUUUUUUAUUAUAUAGUGAUUUAAAAACAUGUUUAAGACUUAUUUAUUUGUUUUGUCCAUUUUUGUGAAUGAUUUCUGUGUAUUUGGGAAAAAAUAUUCUCUUCCUUUUCCCCAUUGAGUUCUAUCAAAUCUACCUUUUUCAGCACUCUGUUCACAUCUGUAAUUGCUUUCUUAUUAAUCUUUUUUAUUUUGAUUUGUCAUUAUGUUAGCAGGAUGUCAAAGUUUCCCACUGUUUAUUGUAUUAUAUGCAUUUUUUUGGUAACUCAAUACAUUUUCAUUUAUAAAGUGCCUUGCUGUGUCAUUAGGUAUAUAUAUGCUUAAUAUUGAUAUCCUCUUCAUUGUCAAUGACACUUUUUAAUUUUUCUUUAUUUUUCAAUAUUUUUAUUUCCAUUAAGCUCAAAUAUUUGAAUAAAAAUACAAAAAGUGAAAAGAAACUAAGCAAAAAGUAAUUGUGAAUGAUUAUAAUGUAACUCUGCAGAGAUUGUGUGUAAACUUUUUCUGAGAUCUUAACAAAGAUGGUUUAUGCAUUUGACAUAGUUCCAUUGUGGUUAAUAUUGUCUUUCUGUCUUUUUAUGAGAGGCAGCAUGGCAAAGUGAAUAGGGAGCCAGUCUUUGAUGCAGGAAGACCUGGGUUCAAGGCCUGUCUCCGACUGGUCAGGUGACUGUAGGCAACUCAUGUGACUUUAGUUCUCUUGGCAAUUGUCUAAAGCUCCAAUAGGGUGGACUUUCCUCACCACAGAGUUCCCUAUGACAGUGAAAUGCUAGGACUCAUAGCCAUCCUGGCCUUGUUUUUCACAACUGGAAGCAGAGAGUGUGUUCUCUUUUGACUUCUUUCUUCACUCGGGUGUCACUGUACUUCCUAAGUUUUCCUUGAGGUCAAGAAUGUUUUGAUUGUUGUGUUCCCAAGAUGAAGUGUGAUACUUGGAAGUCCUGACAUAUUUAGCUUUCGAAUAAUUGCUUGAAUUGAAUUUUUUUACUUCUUCAUGUUUACCAUUUUGUUAUGCUUUAAUAUUUAAUUGCCUUCAUAUAACAUUUUUCAUUCAUUCAGGAAACAUUUUUUAAACAUUUGCCAGGCACUAUGCUUAGUGCUAGGGAAACAAAAAGAGGCAAAAGACAGCCCUUCCCCUCAGAGAGGAGCUCACAAUCUAAUGGGAGAGACAACAUGCAGACAAAUACAUACAAAGCAAGCUCUAUAUGGGAUAAAUAGGCAUUAAUCAACAAAGGAGAGACACUGGAAUGAAGAGGGGUUGAGAAAGGCUUCCUAUGGAAAGUGGAUUUUAAUUGGGACUUAAAGGAAGCCAGGGAGGAGAGUAGGGGGAGUGGAGGAGAAGGGAAUGUUCCAGGCAUAUGGGACAGCCAGAGGGAAUGCCUGGAUCUGACAAAUGGAGUGCCUUGUUCGUGGAACAGCCAGGAGGCCAGAGUCACUGGAUCACAGAAUACCUGUCGGGGAGUAAGGUGUAAGAAGACUGGAAAGGUAGGAGGGGAUAGGGCAUGAAAGGCUUUGAAUUCCUAACAGAACAUUUUACAUUUGUUCCUGGAGGUAUUAGAAACUCCUAGAGUUUAUUGAGGUGGGGGAAGGGGGUGAUGAGAUCAGACAUCCACUUUAAGAGAAUCACUUUAUUAGCCGAAUGGAAAAUUAGUCAUAAAGGGCUAAACAAGGAUAAACUUUAUAUCCUAAUACAGGAAGAUGAUAUAUGUAUCAUCAAGAAUCACAGAGGGAGAUGAGGCUUGACAGUAGUUUGUUACAUUUUGAUGAUCUGAAAUGAAAAAUGGAAAGGGAGGGAAAGAGAAUUGGGUGAGGGAGGUGGAGAUAGGAGAGAAAGAAUGGGGGAAAUUGCCUCACUUAGUUGUGCUUUAUACAAAUAAGAAGGAAGGGGUGCAAGAGAGAGAGGAUAACACGAAUCUUUCAUCUAAACUAGUCAAAGGAGGGAAGAGUAUACACUUUUGGAUACAAAAAUACAUUUCAUUCAAUAGGGAAACAGGAGGAAAAGGUAGGGGAUAAGAGGGUGGGUAGACUAGGGGAGGGAUUAACUGGAAGGAAAGAUGGGAUAUGAAAGAAAGAAAAGUAAAAAACUAGUAUGGAAGAGACAACUAAAAAUCAUAGCUUUAAUGUAAUCACCCAUAAUACAGAAAAGGGUAGCAAAUUGGAUUAGAAAG